GCUUACGGCCACACAGCCUGGUUCACGGCGAUCUCGUUUGAUCUCGGAAGCGAAGAUAGGUUGGGCCUGGUUAGUACUUGGAUGGGGAGACCGCCUAGGAAUACCAGGUGCUGUAAGCC
rnacentral:rRNA from 1 species